UGCUCUGCCUUAUGCUUCAUUCCUUUACUCUUCCUCUGUGUCUCUGCUUCCUUCCCUUGCGUCCUCAAUCAUCGCCAGCGUGAGCCUUUGCUGUCAAUCUGUCCAUAGAUAGCCGGAAGUGAGCUUGUUUUCUUGUUGCUGAACGCUAGCGAAAAUCUUUUUUUUCUUCUUCCUCCCUGUUCAAGCUUACAGCAUAUCGUUGGGUGAGUGUUUUGUCUUCCUCUUUUCCUUGCUCAGCUGUAGCUCCCUGUUCGGUUGGCAAUCUUUUGAUCUCUCCCUCUUUCACUGUUAUUGGUGAUUAAGGGUGUGUGGAAGAACAAGACCCUGACAAGACUUAAAACAAGAAUAGUUUUGGGAAUUUAGAACUUCAACAGAUUGGUUAGAUGACGCCAAUUCCACCAAUGACCUCUAAAAGGGCAACUAGCUAUAGUGGGUGGACAUUUUGAUUGGUAUUGUUGCUUUAAUGUAAAUAUAUAAUUUGUAUAUCUUUUUGAUUUGAAAGAAAGAGUAAAUGCUCCACAUAAGUUGUUGAUAAACCUUAUUUUUUAUCUGUAUAUUGGUUGCUGGCUGGAAGGAGCUACGCUCCUGAUUUAUAUUGUUAUCUAUAAAAAAGAAAUUUUUGUUGUAGAA